AGGUCUUAAUUUCAGCAGAUUCUUUGAAUUGCUAAAUGGCACUAUCACAGAUUCAUCAGUAGGUGGGGUAACGGUGGCAAGACACAUUUUUAGAGGUAGUUUGAAGCUGAUGAAGGAAAAUAUUUAACGCAUAAAAAAAAAAAAAAAAAAAAAAAAAAACAUGCAUCUGGGAAUUGGCACAUUGGUCUGCAAGUAUUUGAAAUAUGAUGAAUUCGUUGCUCCAGGCUGAUGGAUCUAGAAUUUUUAAAGGUUAUGCAACGACGCAAAAUAUCACAUACAUAAAAAAAUAAAUACAAGAAAAUCAAUAUAUUAUAAGAAAAUAUGCAAACAAAAAUCCAAUAAAAUUUUGACGAAUUAACAAAACAAAUGUGAAACAGAGAAAAUAAUAAAAGCUGAGAGCUGUAAAAUCAGCUGCUUUGGUGGAGGCACGCGUGGCGUUAAUGGACGCGGCUUUUCCCCUCCUACUGCUCCUCAGUCUGCCUUUAGUUGCAGACUGACAGGCUUCUUCCAGCGUGUUAGCAUCAUUCCAUGGCUGAGUGUCUGCAGACAUAAAGAUGAGGUAGAUGGUUCCUCCAAAAAUGUAGAUGAGUGACACCACAUGGAACACUUCUCUCCAACUGCUCAGCGUUUGCUGUGAAAGAAAGGCAGUCAUGGCCUUGCCUGCAUGCUGAAAAUAGAACUAGAACGGGUGGAAUGUUUUGAACAAGAAGCAAGGAUUUGGAUAGGGAGAGGUGAAGCUCAUCUGCUAUGACCACCCUCUUGGGGUGAUGCUCCCAGGGGGAGCAAGCUGUUGUAGAGAGAUAGAUUGGUGUAUCAGGUUAAGCGUACACUUUACAUUUUUAAAUGUUUAAGUAUGAAUAUAGCUAAACAAGUGCAUGAAACGUACAAAAAAAAAUGAAAUGAUUACAUAUGAAAGAAGAUAAGCGUUACAUAAGAUAUGCAGAUAAAGGUGGAUCAUACAUAAAAACUAAACAUAUCACAAAACCUAUUUGUAUAUUUAGAAAUGAAUAAGAAACAAUCAAAUUGAAAAUAACAGACUUGGUGUGCCCAAUAAAGGUGAAAAGAUUAAAUAAGGGAAUCAAAUACACCACUGUAAGGUGGUUUGGCCAUGUGGAAAUGACAAAGAUAUAUUUAAAGGAGUAUUAUGAGUAUAAUAGAUCCAGUGAAUGUAAGAGGACAACUUUCUGUGAAAUCAAAUAAGACAGCAUGCUGCAGUACAACAGAAAAAGUCGAGGGAAAAAAUAAAAGGAUUAAAGCAUGCUUGGAGGGAAUGCAAAGACAAAUAAAUUGAGAUGAUUUUGAUGUGGGUAUUGCUUAGGGAGAGUUCUUAAAAACAAAUAUUAUAUGUAUAUAAUCAGACAGAUUUUUUAAUAAAAAGCAACUUACUUGGUUAUUUAUGAUCAUCCCAGUUACAGCUGGAGCAAGAAAUCCUGGUAUUGUUGCCACUGUGUUUGAUAUGCCUGUCAAGGUCCCUGCAAAGUUUGGAGCCAACUCCUUGGAGAAAAAUUGUGGAUAAUUUCUGAUACUUGUCCAUUACCACAGAUAUAUUUUACCUUGUAUUUUUUGCUUAUUCAUUUAUUUAUUUUGUUUAUUUAUUUAUUUUUUUUUUUGCACCAUAUGACUGUGAUGUGGCACUUUCUCUUAAGAAAAAAAAAAAAAAGUAUUCUUCUGUGUUGAAUCCCAAUCAGUAAUGAGUUAUAAUCAGCUACAUUACUUGCCUGAAAGCCACAGUGCAGUCCGCACGUUGAGGCUCCACCUGAACCCAAAGCAAUACAGAUAAGAAUCACAGCUCGCUGCCUAUCACACCCCACCCACGGAACAAGGAGCAGCACUGCCGCUGGAAUGUGGUUUGCUGGGAAUGGUUAGGUCACAAAAUUAGCAACAAUGAAGAGAACUGGAGUACAUACAAAGAGAAAUCUGUGUCAGAAUGUAAGAAAGUACCUGUAUUUGUGUUUAUAAACUAGAACAGAACACAGACAGUGACACAGGAAUGCUUAUAGUGCACAACAUUUUCUUACCUAUGAUCAUAGAGAUUUUCCGGAUGUUCUUGGUGGAGAGCUUUCCUGUUUCUAAAAGAUGAUCCAUAUAUGACGAAUAUGUCAAAUUAAACACCCACAUCACCAUGUAAGGAAGUGCUGAGAUUAAACCAUUCUGACAAAGAAA